AGUGAACGCUGGCGGUAGGCCUAACACAUGCAAGUCGAACGGCAGCACAGGAGAGCUUGCUCUCUGGGUAGCGAGUGGCGGACGGGUGAGGAAUACAUCGGAAUCUACUUUGUCGUGGGGGAUAACGCAGGGAAACUUGCGCUAAUACCGCAUACGACCUACGGGUGAAAGCAGGGGAUCUUCGGACCUUGCGCGAUUGAAUGAGCCGAUGUCGGAUUAGCUAGUUGGCGGGGUAAAGGCCCACCAAGGCGACGAUCCGUAGCUGGUCUGAGAGGAUGAUCAGCCACACUGGAACUGAGACACGGUCCAGACUCCCACGGGAGGCAGCAGUGGGGAAUAUUGGACAAUGGGCGCAAGCCUGAUCCAGCCAUACCGCGUGGGUGAAGAAGGCCUUCGGGUUGUAAAGCCCUUUUGUUGGGAAAGAAAAGCAGCCGGUUAAUACCCGGUUGUUCUGACGGUACCCAAAGAAUAAGCACCGGCUAACUUCGUGCCAGCCGCCGCAGUAA
rnacentral:rRNA from 1 species